UGUCGCUCAGUGGUAGAGCACCGGGUUGUGGUCCCGGGUUGUCGCGGGUUCGAGUCCCGCCA
rnacentral:tRNA from 1 species